rnacentral:rRNA from 1 species
CCUGGUCGGACAUCAGGAGGUUAGUGCAAAGGCAUAAGCUAGCUUGACUGCGAGAGUGACGGCUCGAGCAGGUGCGAAAGCAGGUCUUAGUGAUCCGGUGGUUCUGAAUGGAAGGGCCAUCGCUCAACGGAUAAAAGGUACUCCGGGGAUAACAGGCUGAUACCGCCCAAGAGUUCAUAUCGACGGCGGUGUUUGGCACCUCGAUGUCGGCUCAUCACAUCCUGGGGCUGAAGUAGGUCCCAAGGGUAUGGCUGUUCGCCAUUUAAAGUGGUACGCGAGCUGGGUUUAGAACGUCGUGAGACAGUUCGGUCCCUAUCUGCCGUGGGCGCUGGAGAAUUGAGGGGGGCUGCUCCUAGUACGAGAGGACCGGAGUGGACGCAUCACUGGUGUUCGGGUUGUCAUGCCAAUGGCAUUGCCCGGUAGCUAAAUGCGGAAGAGAUAAGUGCUGAAAGCAUCUAAGCACGAAACUUGCCCCGAGAUGAGUUCUCCCUGACUCCUUGAGAGUCCUGAAGGAACGUUGAAGACGACGACGUUGAUAGGUCGGGUGUGUAAGUGUAGCGAUACAUUGAGCUAACCGAUACUAAUGAACCGUGAGGCUUAACCUU